rnacentral:rRNA from 1 species
UGGGUAACCUGCCUUAUAGUGGGGGGAUAGCCUUUCGAAAGGAAGAUUAAUACCGCAUAAGAUUGUAGUAUCGCAUGAUAUAGCAAUUAAAGGAGCAAUCCGCUAUAAGAUGGACCCGCGUCGCAUUAGCUAGUUGGUGAGGUAAUGGCUCACCAAGGCGACGAUGCGUAGCCGACCUGAGAGGGUGAUCGGCCACAUUGGGACUGAGACACGGCCCAGACUCCUACGGGAGGCAGCAUG